rnacentral:rRNA from 1 species
AGUGAACGCUGGCGGUAGGCCUAACACAUGCAAGUCGAACGGCAGCACAGUAAGAGCUUGCUCUUACGGGUGGUGAGUGGCGGACGGGUGAGGAAUACAUCGGAAUCUACUUUUUCGUGGGGGAUAACGUAGGGAAACUUACGCUAAUACCGCAUACGACCUACGGGUGAAAGCAGGGGAUCUUCGGACCUUGCGCGAUUGAAUGAGCCGAUGUCGGAUUAGCUAGUUGGCGGGGUAAAGGCCCACCAAGGCGACGAUCCGUAGCUGGUCUGAGGGGAUGAUCAGCCACACUGGAACUGAGACACGGUCCAGACUCCUACGGGAGGCAGCAGUGGGGAAUAUUGGACAAUGGGCGCAAGCCUGAUCCAGCCAUACCGCGUGGGUGAAGAAGGCCUUCGGGUUGUAAAGCCCUUUUGUUGGGAAAGAAAAGCAGCAGGUUAAUACCCCGCUGUUCUGACGGUACCCAAAGAAUAAGCACCGGCUAACUUCGUG